GGUCCACUAGCUCAAUUGGCAGAGCAACUGACUCUUAAUCAGUGGGUUCGGGGUUCAAGUCCCCGGUGGAUCA
rnacentral:tRNA from 3 species